rnacentral:rRNA from 1 species
UAGGGAAUCUUCCACAAUGGACGCAAGUCUGAUGGAGCAACGCCGCGUGAGUGAAGAAGGUUUUCGGACCGUAAAGCUCUGUUGUUGGUGAAGAAGGAUAGAGGUAGUAACUGGCCUUUAUUUGACGGUAAUCAACCAGAAAGUCACGGCUAACUACGUGCCAGCAGCCGCGGUAAUACGUAGGUGGCAAGCGUUGUCCGGAUUUAUUGGGCGUAAAGCGAGCGCAGGCGGAAGAAUAAGUCUGAUGUGAAAGCCCUCGGCUUAACCGAGGAAUUGCAUCGGAAACUGUUUUCUUGAGUGCAGAAGAGGAGAGUAGAACUCCAUGUGUAGCGGUGGAAUGCGUAGAUAUAUGGAAGAAUACCAGUGGCGAAGGCGGCUCUCUGGUCUGCAACUGACGCUGAGGCUCGAAAGCAUGGGUAGCGAACAGGAUUAGAUACCCUGGUAGUCCAUGCCGUAAACGAUGAGUGCUAAGUGUUGGGAGGCUUCCGCCUCUCAGUGCUGCAGCUAACGCAUUAAGCACUCCGCCUGGGGGAGUACGACCGCA